rnacentral:misc_RNA from 1 species
UCUCCGUAGGUGAACCUGCGGAGGGAUCAUUACAAGUGACCCCGGUCUUACCACCGGGAUGUUCAUAACCCUUUGUUGUCCGACUCUGUUGCCUCCGGGGCGACCCUGCCUUCGGGCGGGGGCUCCGGGUGGACACUUCAAACUCUUGCGUAACUUUGCAGUCUGAGUAAACUUAAUUAAUAAGUUAAAACUUUCAACAACGGAUCUCUUGGUUCUG